GGACCACAACUCAGUGGUAGAGAGUCUGCUUUGCAUGCAGAAGGUCCCAGGUUCAAUCCCUAGCAUCUCCU